rnacentral:snRNA from 1 species
AUAUUUAGCUGGCAGGGGAAAUGCCAUGAUCACAGAGGUGGUUUUUCCUAUGUGACGUUUAACCAUGACACUUGGGACUUGCUGACCUCUGGGAUUUCCCCAAAGGCAGGAAACUCCACCCAUAAUUUGUGGUGAUGGAGGAGUGUAUUUAUGAUCUCCUCUG